UACAGAGGGUGCAAGCGUUGUCCGGAUUUAUUGGGCGUAAAGAGUUCGUAGGCUUCCUGUUAAGUCAUCUUUCAAAGACCAGAGCUCAACUUUGGAAAGGGGGGUGAUACUGGCAGGAUUGAAAUAUUUCGGGGUUACUGGAACUUACGGUGUAGGAGUGAAAUCCGUUGAUAUCGUAAGGAACACCAAGGGCGAAGGCGGGUAACUAGGAAUUAUUUGACGCUGAGGGACGAAAGCUAGGGGAGCGAAAGGG
rnacentral:rRNA from 1 species